GAUGAACGCUGGCGGCGUGCCUAAUACAUGCAAGUCGAGCGAACGGACGAGAAGCUUGCUUCUCUGAUGUUAGCGGCGGACGGGUGAGUAACACGUGGAUAACCUACCUAUAAGACUGGGAUAACUUCGGGAAACCGGAGCUAAUACCGGAUAAUAUUUUGAACCGCAUGGUUCAAAAGUGAAAGACGGUCUUGCUGUCACUUAUAGAUGGAUCCGCGCUGCAUUAGCUAGUUGGUAAGGUAACGGCUUACCAAGGCAACGAUGCAUAGCCGACCUGAGAGGGUGAUCGGCCACACUGGAACUGAGACACGGUCCAGACUCCUACGGGAGGCAGCAGUAGGGAAUCUUCCGCAAUGGGCGAAAGCCUGACGGAGCAACGCCGCGUGAGUGAUGAAGGUCUUCGGAUCGUAAAACUCUGUUAUUAGGGAAGAACAUAUGUGUAAGUAACUGUGCACAUCUUGACGGUACCUAAUCAGAAAGCCACGGCUAACUACGUGCCAGCAGCCGCGGUAAUACGUAGGUGGCAAGCGUUAUCCGGAAUUAUUGGGCGUAAAGCGCGCGUAGGCGGUUUUUUAAGUCUGAUGUGAAAGCCCACGGCUCAACCGUGGAGGGUCAUUGGAAACUGGAAAACUUGAGUGCAGAAGAGGAAAGUGGAAUUCCAUGUGUAGCGGUGAAAUGCGCAGAGAUAUGGAGGAACACCAGUGGCGAAGGCGACUUUCUGGUCUGUAACUGACGCUGAUGUGCGAAAGCGUGGGGAUCAAACAGGAUUAGAUACCCUGGUAGUCCACGCCGUAAACGAUGAGUGCUAAGUGUUAGGGGGUUUCCGCCCCUUAGUGCUGCAGCUAACGCAUUAAGCACUCCGCCUGGGGAGUACGACCGCAAGGUUGAAACUCAAAGGAAUUGACGGGGACCCGCACAAGCGGUGGAGCAUGUGGUUUAAUUCGAAGCAACGCGAAGAACCUUACCAAAUCUUGACAUCCUUUGACAACUUUAGAGAUAGAGCCUUCCCCUUCGGGGGACAAAGUGACAGGUGGUGCAUGGUUGUCGUCAGCUCGUGUCGUGAGAUGUUGGGUUAAGUCCCGCAACGAGCGCAACCCUUAAGCUUAGUUGCCAUCAUUAAGUUGGGCACUCUAAGUUGACUGCCGGUGACAAACCGGAGGAAGGUGGGGAUGACGUCAAAUCAUCAUGCCCCUUAUGAUUUGGGCUACACACGUGCUACAAUGGACAAUACAAAGGGCAGCGAAACCGCGAGGUCAAGCAAAUCCCAUAAAGUUGUUCUCAGUUCGGAUUGUAGUCUGCAACUCGACUACAUGAAGCUGGAAUCGCUAGUAAUCGUAGAUCAGCAUGCUACGGUGAAUACGUUCCCGGGUCU
rnacentral:rRNA from 1 species